rnacentral:rRNA from 1 species
AUUGAACGCUGGCGGUAGGCCUAACACAUGCAAGUCGAACGGCAGCACAGUAAGCGCUUGCUCUUACGGGUGGCGAGUGGCGGGCGGGUGAGGGAUACGUCGGCAGCUACUUGUUCGAGGGGGAUGAAGGAGGGAAAAUUACGCUAAUACCGCAUAGGACCUAAGGGUGGAAGCAAGGGAUCUUCGGACCUUGCGCGAUUGAAUGAGCCGAUGUCGGAUUAGCUAGUUGGAGGGGUAAAGGCCCACCAAGGCGACGAUCCGUAGCUGGUCUGAGAGGAUGACCAGCCACACUGGAACUGAGGCACGGUCCAGACUCCUACGGGAGGCAGCAGUGGGGAAUUUUGGACAAUGGGCGCAAGCCUGAUCCAGCCAUACCGCGUGGGUGAAGAAGGCCUUCGGGUUGUAAAGCGCUUUUGUUGGGAAAGAAAAGCAGCAGGUUAAUACCCCGCUGUGCUGACGGUACCCAAAGAAUAAGCACCGGCUAACUUCGUG